GGCCAAGCUGCGGGGCGCCUGUGUGCCAUUGUUGUGCCUCGGCUUCCUCCUCUGUGUCCCUGCUGUGGCUGGCAGUGUUUGGUGUCCCAGCAGCGGUCCAUAGCUUUACAUCCAGAGACACGGGAGGCUCUGACUAAGUGAGGCAUUAUUAGACGUCCACUCAUGCAGGAAAAGCAACAUGCGCGGUGACGAACAGACGGACGCUGAAGAGAUGUUUGCCGGCAUCCGGCGAGCGGCCUUGGAUUCGCCAGAUGGAGACCAAGCAGCUGGAAGAGUCAUAGAGGGCAGGGAACAGGUUUACAUCAGUGCAUGACCGGCUGUGACAUGUGCAGAUGAGUGUGCGCAGCAGCUUAUGAACCCCGCAGCCUAAUGCGCACAAUGUACCACACAACGGGCAUGUGUCUGCCUCCGUGUGCCUGCACUGGCACAUGAUAAAGGGAUGUGCUCAACAGUACGUCAACAGAUUCCUCUGCCUCUGAUGUAUACAUAAAGGGUUAUAUAAGUCCACAGGCUGUGACGGAUAGCAUAACCUUUUAUGGGAAAAGCCAGAAUGAGUAUAACUGCACAGGUUGUUUCAGCUCGCUUAUUUUCUUAUUGAACUAAAUGAGAAAAUUACUCGGGGGAGGCAGCAUUUAAAGAUUAUUACCUCUGCCCCCGCCUUAGUGGACAGUAAUGGCUUUCACAACUUCUCCGGAUGGCUGGAGUUCGAACCAUCACAUAGUCGGGACUCCCACAUUCAGACUGUUAUCUAUCAUUUAAUGGCAUAAAAACACUGUUAGGAGGUUUGAGACCCGCCAACAGGUCCCAGUGGAGACCUGUAUAGAUAAUGGAGACAUAUAUAGAUAAUGUGCCCUCUAUGUGGCCCAGUGUGCAGGUAAACAUGUUACACUGCGCUAAUCGGAGCCCUUAAAAUGGAGAAAACGUAGUGCCCUCGAGGGAGUCCUUCCAGGGGAGAAAACCGGAUGCGGCGCUAUGCAGACUGCCGAACAUGCUAGAAAACGAUUUUGAUUUGUGUCCACCAUAAAUACUUCAUGACUUUCUGCUGGUGACCCAU